rnacentral:lncRNA from 1 species
ACUGUGUGCCAGCUGCCCUCGCUCUCACUGGCAGGUUCUUCCCCGAUGUUAGAACCCACUUCUUCAGGCACCCAAAGUAGACUGAAGACCAGCAGUUCUCCAAGAAUCCUCAGGGUCUUUAGCACCAAAUUGGAACUUCCAAGCAUCCAGCAUUGAGGACUGUCGGUGUGAGACAGCCACUGUUGGACGACAAGAGCCACACCAUGAACUGCCCAAGAUCGCUAAGCACUCCCGGCUCUCAGGCUUUUGGACUCAGGCUGAAUUCUUCUACUGUUCUCCAGUUCUGCAGGCAAUAAGCCAUGGGAAUCUCCGUCUUCAUAGCCACUGAAUCCUAUUCUUAUAGAGAGAGGCCAUCUCUGUGAAGGUACCUAGUACCUAGUAUCUUCUCAUGGACUUGAUGGGAUCCUACAGGAAACAGAAUUCCAGUGUCAGUGUCCCUUCCUCUGCUCUCAGACUCUAGGGCAAACCAAGAGUCUAAUGCAGCUCCUGUCCUGCAGAGGUGAUGAACACCAUGCAAGAGGUCACAAAGUCUCUGCCCACAUCAUCUUGGUUAUCAAACUCAAGUAGAACUAAUACUGCUCGAAGACAAAUGUCUUUAAAGUCCCACUGUCCAGUUACAAAUAAACAGAGGAAGGAGAGAGAUGGGGAGGUGGUACAGAGUGCCUUGGGGACAGAAGGAAGAAAAUACCCAGAGCAUGCACAAAGCCAAGUGGUGACGAACUCUGGAGGACUUAUCUCAUCCAAGAGAGAGAUAAGAGUGGCUGGAGGAAAACAGGCUUGGGAGACACCCCAGUCUCUAAAGUGCUGGCCCCACAAGCAUGAGGACCUGAGUUUGAUCGCCAAAAUAUACACUUUAAAAGUCAAGUUUAGCAGUGUGCACUUGUAAUUCCAGUACUGGGAAGGCUAACACAAGCCGCUACUGGGUUUCACCAGCCAGACAGCCUAACCAACUAGGUAAGGUGCAGACCAACAAGAGAGACCAUCCCGUGAAACAAAGUGGGUGUCUCCUAAGGAAUGGUGCA